UACGUAUGGUGCAAGCGUUGUCCGGAAUUAUUGGGCGUAAAGAGCUCGUAGGCGGUUUGUCGCGUCGAAUGUGAAAACCCGGGGCUCAACCCCGGGCCUGCAUUCGAUACGGGCAGACUAGAGUUCGGUAGGGGAGUCUGGAAUUCCUGGUGUAGCGGUGAAAUGCGCAGAUAUCAGGAGGAACACCGGUGGCGAAGGCGGGACUCUGGGCCGAUACUGACGCUGAGGAGCGAAAGCGUGGGGGGCAAACAGG
rnacentral:rRNA from 1 species